GUGUCCCAUUUUCUUUGACCAACAACCAGGAAAACCUAAAAAGCACUCAGUGUGGAGAGAAACCCAGACAAGCAGCCAGGAUAAUACAUUUGAGGCACAGAUGACUUUCCUAAGCUGCAGAUCGGAACACAGGACACAUCAUCAUGUGACACUUUUUGGAUUAUGCUGUCUUAAGCUACAGAAACUGUAGUCUCGCCACCAGACAAUCAGAGAUCUCCGCCUUCUUUAGUUAAGCAAAGCAUCUAAAGACUGACUUGUGUUUUGGUCCACCAAGAAAACCAUGAGAAGUCAAACUCCAGCAGCAGGUGCCUCUGACAGCCUCCGCUCAUAUGGGGGGGUCUAAAGUGAUAAAGCUAAGCUUCACUCUGAUAUCAUGGCUGAGAGCGAGGCU